rnacentral:rRNA from 1 species
GACGAACGCUGGCGGCGUGCUUAACACAUGCAAGUCGAGCGGUAAGGCCCUUUCGGGGGUACACGAGCGGCGAACGGGUGAGUAACACGUGAGCAACCUGCCCCGAAGACUGGGAUAACACCGGGAAACCGGUGCUAAUACCGGAUGUCGUCAUUAGGCCGCAUGACCUGAUGAUGAAAGGAUUCAUCGCUUCGGGAGGGGCUCGCGGGCUAUCAGCUUGUUGGUGGGGUAACGGCCACCAAGGCGACGACGGCUAGCUGGUCUGAGAGGACGACCAGCCACACUGGGACUGAGACACGGCCCAGACUCCUACGGGAGGCAGCAGUGGGGAAUCUUGCGCAAUGGGCGAAAGCCUGACGCAGCAACGCCGCGUGGGGAUGAAUGCCUUCGGGUUGU